rfam:Salmo salar isolate Sally breed double haploid chromosome ssa10, whole genome shotgun sequence.
GAACCCUAUAUUUGUAAGUCGCUCUGGAUAAGAGCGUCUGCUAAAUGACGUAAA